AUGAAGGAACCGGUUCCUGCGAAGUUCAAAAAUCACGCUUCUGGAAAAAUGUAUGGGAACCCGGUUCCUACCUAUACAGGAAUCGAAACUCUUGAUGGUGCUGGUCGUCGUUUGCUGCGAGUGUUCCGCUGGUCAUAUUCUAUUGCUAUCAUCUUUGUGUCUUCAUUUUCUGUAUCAAUGAAGAUGUUGACGAGGACGAUGUCGUAA